rnacentral:tRNA from 1 species
GCCGGUGUUGCUCAGUGGAUGGAGCGUCAGACUGCGGACUGAAGGGUCCGGGUUCGAUUCCCGUCAAGGGCA